GGUAGUUAACAUCUAAGAGGUUUUAAGAGCUUUUCUUUAAAUUGAUGAGUUUGAUUUUCUUCAAAUUUUAUAUGCUUAUUAAUUACUUGUGGAUUGAAGUAUAAGUAAAAAUUUAUUUAAAAUCAAUGGUUUAAUUAAUAUUUAUUAAGGUUUUAAAAUAACAAUAGUAAAUAAUUAAAAUUUACUUAGAAUUUUUUUGAGAUUGCUUAGGAUUUAUUUAAAGAUUUAGUUAGGAUUUAGGAUUUAGGAUUUGAUUAGAAUUUGGUUAGGAUUUAUUAAGAUUUUAUUAGAAUUGGUCUAAGAUUUAAGAUUUGAUUAAGAUU
rnacentral:lncRNA from 1 species